UUCGAGCGUCAUUACAACCUCUCCAGCUCGGCUGGGUCUUGGGGCUUGCCUUCCCGGGCAUCCCCUAAAACUAGAUGCGGCGCCGCGUUGGCUCUAAGCGUAGUACUUUUCUCGCUUUUGGGUCCGCUGUGGUGUUUGCUAUACAACCCCAACUUUCUAUGGUUGACCUCGAAUCAGGUAGGGAUACCCGCUGAACUUAA
rnacentral:misc_RNA from 1 species